UACGUAGGGGGCAAGCGUUGUCCGGAAUCAUUGGGCGUAAAGCGCGUGUAGGCGGCUAGGUAAGUCUGCUCUGAAAGCCCGGGGCUCAACCCCGGGAGGCGGGUGGAUACUGUCUAGCUCGAGUCCGGAAGAGGAGUGUGGAAUUCCUGGUGUAGCGGUGAAAUGCGCAGAUAUCAGGAGGAACACCGGUGGCGAAGGCGGUUCUCUGGGCCUGUACUGACGCUGAGGAGCGAAAGCGUGGGGAGCGAACAGG
rnacentral:rRNA from 1 species